GAUGGGGGGACGGAUCGCGGAAGGUUGUCUGACUGUUGGAAUAGUCAGUUUCUGCUUCAUAGAAGGCACUUAGGCAAAUCCGGGUGCGGAAUUCAAGGGAGNNNNNNNNNNGAUCGCGGAAGGUUGUCUGACUGUUGGAAUAGUCAGUUUCUGUCUCAUAGAAGGCGCUUAGGCAAAUCCGGGCGCAGGAUUCAAGGGGANNNNNNNNNNGAUCGCGGAAGGUUGUCUGACUGUUGGAAUAGUCAGUUUCUGUCUCAUAGAAGGUACUUAGGCAAAUCCGGGUACGGAAUUCAAGGGGAUGGNNNNNNNNNNAUAUUCCUGCACCGUCGUAUGAUGCGAUGGGGGGACGGAUCGCGGAAGGUUGUCCAACUGUUGGAAUAGUUGGUUUUUGGCUCAUAGAAGGCGCUUAGGCAAAUCCGGGCGCGGAAUUCAAGGGGUUGAGACGAGUGAAUUUAUUCACGAAGCAAUCGGAAGUGGUUCCAAGAAAAGCCUCUAAGCUUCAGUCAUACGAGACCGUACCGCAAACCGACACAGGUGGGCGAGAUGAGUAUUCUAAGGCGCUUGAGAGAACUCGGGAGAAGGAACUCGGCAAAUUGGUACCGUAACUUCGGGAAAAGGUACGCCCCGGUAGCUUGAUUGGUUUACUCCAUGAGGGUGAAAGGGUUGCAAUAAACUGGUGGCUGCGACUGUUUAAUAAAAACACAGCACUCUGCAAACACGAAAGUGGACGUAUAGGGUGUGACGCCUGCCCGGUGCUGGAAGAUUAAAUGAUGGGGUGCAAGCUCUUGAUUGAAGUCCCAGUAAACGGCGGCCGUAACUAUAACGGUCCUAAGGUAGCGAAAUUCCUUGUCGGGUAAGUUCCGACCUGCACGAAUGGCGUAACGAUGGCCACACUGUCUCCUCCCGAGACUCAGCGAAGUUGAAAUGUUUGUGAUGAUGCAAUCUACCCGCGGCUAGACGGAAAGACCCCAUGAACCUUUACUGUAGCUUUGCAUUGGACUUUGAACCAAUCUGUGUAGGAUAGGUGGGAGGCUUUGAAGCGGGGACGCUAGUUCUCGUGGAGCCAACCUUGAAAUACCACCCUGGUUUGUUUGAGGUUCUAACCUUGGUCCGUUAUCCGGAUCGGGGACAGUGCAUGGUAGGCAGUUUGACUGGGGCGGUCUCCUCCUAAAGUGUAACGGAGGAGUUCGAAGGUACGCUAGAUACGGUCGGACAUCGUGUUGAUAGUGCAAUGGCAUAAGCGUGCUUAACUGCGAGACUGACAAGUCGAGCAGGUACGAAAGUAGGACAUAGUGAUCCGGUGGUUCUGUAUGGAAGGGCCAUCGCUCAACGGAUAAAAGGUACUCUGGGGAUAACAGGCUGAUUCCUCCCAAGAGUUCAUAUCGACGGGGGAGUUUGGCACCUCGAUGUCGGCUCAUCACAUCCUGGGGCUGUAGCCGGUCCCAAGGGUAUGGCUGUUCGCCAUUUAAAGUGGUACGUGAGCUGGGUUUAAAACGUCGUGAGACAGUUUGGUCCCUAUCUGCCGUGGGCGUUGGAAAUUUGAAGGGGGCUGCUCCUAGUACGAGAGGACCGGAGUGGACGAACCUCUGGUGUACCGGUUGUCACGCCAGUGGCAUUGCCGGGUAGCUAAGUUCGGAAGAGAUAACCGCUGAAAGCAUCUAAGCGGGAAACUUGCCUUGAGAUGAGAUUUCCCAGAGCCUUGAGCUCUUUGAAGGGUCGUUCGAGACCAGGACGUUGAUAGGCUGGGUGUGGAAGUGCAGUAAUGCAUUAAGCUAACCAGUACUAAUUGCCCGUACGGCUUGUCCCU
rfam:Janthinobacterium sp. KBS0711 VM94_contig000019, whole genome shotgun sequence.